GGACUGGCCAUCUAAAAAUGUCUUUACGUUGUAUAAAAUAUUACUUACUGUUCCCAAUACCCAAGCAUAGUUUUCUUUUACAGACUCCCAGAGUUCUCUUUUGUGCAGAUUGUAUCCCUACAUUCAUGGCACUAUCCCCCUUUGGAAAUGUUCUUGCACUUGCAAAUUCAGAAUUUAUUCCUGACAAUUUUCCUACCUGAUGCCGUUCUUGUACCGGAACUCUCUGGUGCUCUGGAUGGCUGAGAAGCUCCAUACAUUGGACCCGAGUAUGAAGGACCAGUCCAGGUGUUGAAAUAGGGAGACUGGCAUGGCUGCGCUCUUAAUACAAAAAUAAAAGCCAGAAAGUCUGUUGAGUACUGAGGGACUAUCAUACAAAAACACACAAUAGUGGUUAUUAAUUAUGUUUGAAAGGGGAAAAUAUUAUACAGAAUUCUCUUUCCAGAGGACAAAACUAUGUUCCCCCAGUGAUGUGACUGAUGCUAUAUGCUGUACUCAGGGACGUCAAGUACAUCUCAAUGAAAGACAGAAUUUCAGUCCCCACCUUCAUGUGUUAGUAAAUGUUACACCUUUGUUCCAACAUUCUGUAAAUAGUAAAAGUUUAUUUAAGUAAAAUAA